rfam:Cephalotus follicularis DNA, scaffold: scaffold2726, isolate: St1.
GUAAUGUUUCUUGCUCAAAUGAGUAUUCCAUACACAAUAGCAUGCUUUUUUGCACACAAAGGUCAAAAACAAAUAAAAAAAAGUUCUUUCCACUUUGUGUAUAUAUACAGCUGUGCUUGUGUUUAUGAGAUGCUCAUUUGAGCAAGCAAUAUUGU